rnacentral:rRNA from 1 species
AUUGAACGCUGGCGGAAUGCUUUACACAUGCAAGUCGAACGGUAGAGGGGGCAACCCCUUGAGAGUGGCGAACGGGUGAGUAAUAUAUCGGAACGUGCCCAGUCGUGGGGGAUAACAUAGCGAAAGUUACGCUAAUACCGCAUACGAUCUAAGGAUGAAAGCGGGGGAUCGCAAGACCUCGCGCGAUUGGAGCGGCCGAUAUCAGAUUAGGUAGUUGGUGGGGUAAAGGCUCACCAAGCCAACGAUCUGUAGCUGGUCUGAGAGGACGACCAGCCACACUGGAACUGAGACACGGUCCAGACUCCUACGGGAGGCAGCAGUGGGGAAUUUUGGACAAUGGACGCAAGUCUGAUCCAGCCAUUCCGCGUGCAGGAUGAAGGCCCUCGGGUUGUAAACUGCUUUUGUACGGAACGAAAAGGUCUCUCUUAAUACGGGGGGCUCAUGACGGUACCGUAAGAAUAAGCACCGGCUAACUACGUGCCAGCAGCCGCGGUAA